AUGAUCUUGACUCACUGCAGCCUCGACUUCCUGGGCUCAAGUGAUCCUCCCAUCUCAGCCUCCUGUGUCGCUCUAACCACAGGCACGUGCCACCAUGCCUGGCUAUUUUUUUGUUGAGCUGGGCUCUCACUUUGUUGCCCAGGCUGGUCUUGAACUCCUCAGCUCAAGCAGUCCUUCCCACUCAGCCUCCCGUAGUGUUGGGAAUACAGGCGUGCACCACUGCACCUGCUCCAGCCACUUGUAUAAAACCACUGACCUGUGUGUGGAGGACAGGCCAGGUGUGUGCUCACUGCACUGCGAAGAUGGGUCAUCACGUGACUUUCCCCAGUUUUCCAUUUCUCUUUUUCUGCUUUCCUCAAAAACCAGUAUAAGACCGGGCAUGGUGGCUCACACCCGUAAUCCCAGCACUUUGGGACGCUGCAGCUGGCGGAUCACAAGUUCAGGAGUUUUGAGACCAGCCUGGCCAACAUGAUGAAACCUCGUCUCCACUAAAAAUACAAAAGUUAGCUGGGUGUGAUGGUGGGUGCCUGUAAUCCCAGCUACUCAGGAGGCUGAGGCAGGAGAAUUGUUUGAACCCUGGAGGUGGAGGUUGCGGUGAGCCGAGAUCGUGCCAUUGCACUCCAGCCUGGGCAACAGCAAGACUCUGUCUCAAAAACACUUAGAAAAUGCCCUGGAGGUGGCAGAGGAUUGUAGAUAUGUGAGGCCAACCCCCAGGGUGGCCCUGUCCGCCUCCCCAUUGAGAAUGGCUGCCAGGCUUCCCACUAGCCUCUGAAGAUGAUGGUCUGGUGUAAGGAGAGGUGCAGGUGCCUGGUUCUGAGCACCCUGGAAUUUCUGGCCGCACAUCCUCUGGUGCCCUCCCUUCCACCCUGACAAGGAGCUUCCAGCCUGUUUUGAUUUUCUGUUUGUGGACCAGAAACACGUUUUUCCAAAUGAUGAGCAAAUAGGGUGAUUUCCUUUGUAAUGCUGCUCUGGGGCCUCUUCCUCAUCCUGGCAGAAGCAGCCUGGAUACCAUGCGGCAGCCGACACUGUGCCCUUGCUCAGGCAUGCUGUCCCCUCCCUCUCCCUCAGUCUCCUCUCCAUGCCCAAGUCGGUUUCCAGCUGCUGGUCUUCACGGCAUUCCCAGUACAGCCAGGCACCAAGAGGCAAUACCCAAGGCCUGGCUUGGCCAUGUUAACAAUUGUACAGACAUAUAUUUUUAAAUAACUUUUAUGUAAUACUUUUCUAGCAUAGUAAGUUCUUGUUAACUGUCACAGAUGUUCUAGAAACACCAGGUGUUACUUCCACUGAGUGUGUCCGUGGUCGUGGUCUGUGCCUUUGUAAACAGAACACUUGAACCACCUCCCGAAUUGCGUCAUCUGCUUCUUGAAAUUGACACUUAAGAGAUGUGCAUCUCUCUUAACUUUCAAGGAAACUUCCCCACUAAAUGGCAUGAAAAGGUUUAAAUAAAAUCUGAGAGUCCCAAUUCCCUCUAUAACAGUGUUAAAAUAAUCUGUCUACCUGGAAAGAUGAAAACACUCUUGCACAACCCAAAAUGUGUCUUUAAUUUGUGAAAAAUUAACAUGGUGAGUCAAACAGUCAUUUUAAAGAGCUGAGCAAAGAAUAUCAUCAGCCAAAUAGAGCUCUGCUUUGUAGGGUGCCUUUAAACUCCUUGCCACAAAACCAGUGAGCUCUGCUUGCUGCUGCCACGCUCCUGGAUGAUCACUUAGAUGGGUCAGUGGGAAUAACAGGUGAACAAGACAGUUCUUUACAUCUGUCCAAAUGAUGUCCUUUCUCAGGCCUGGAAGUAUUUCAUUGCUGGAAGAAGGAAACAAGAAUGUCAUUGCAGGCCGGGCGCGGUGGCUCAAGCCUGUAAUCCCAGCACUUUGGGAGGCCGAGACGGGCGGAUCACGAGGUCAGGAGAUUGAGACCAUCCUGGCUAACACGGUGAAACCCCGUCUCUACUAAAAAAUACAAAAAACUAGCUGGGCAAGGUGGUGGGCGCCUGUAGUCCCAGUUACUCGGGAGGCUGAGGCAGGAGAAUGGUGUGAACCCAGGAGAGGGAGCUUGCAGUGAGCUGAGAUCCAGCCACUGCACUCCAGCCUGGGCGACAGAGCGAGACCCUAUCUCGGAAAAAAAAAAAAAGAAUGUCAUUGCGGAUAGAAACAGACUGCUCUCGUUUGCCCUUGACCAACAUGGUACUGAGGGGUUUAUUGUUUCCCAACGCACAUGCGUGCCCUACUUGGGGGCCUUACUUUAUAGAACGAGAGCGUCCGAGCUCCCCUAACGAUUCUGACUAGUUCUCUCCUGGCUGAGGAUACAGGAGUGGGACAUCCACCCUCAGAUCCCUCAGAGCACAGAAACCUUCAGCUUGGCUGUCUCAAGUAUUUCUUCCAGUUUCCCUGUGGGCCUCGGAUGUUUGAGUUUGAUGGCUGCUAGAUCCUUAACGAAAACUCAGUUGGAAACUUCCAACUCGCAGUCCUAGUUUGUUUGUUGUUUUCCAUUUCAUUUCACUUACAGCUGAAAGUGGCAUUCAGCUGACUUGCUCGUUUAAACUGUUCACAGAGUCUGAACUGCCAACGUGGCGUUGGAGGCUCCAUCUUUUAAGAGGGCCACAGACUUUCCCACAUGGGAAAACUUGAAAAUUACAUCAACAAUCAACGUCAGAGCCAAAUUAUAUUUGCUUUAUACCAAACUAUGGAGAACUAAAAGUACAUUGUACAAAAUGUUUCUAGUGUUUUGUAUGUGACCUAUUUCAAUAUUUAUAUUACCAGAUCAGUGCUUUCCAGCAAACGAUUCUGUUAAAUAACGUAGCCAGUCGCUGUUAAUUUUGCAGCAGUGAUAAGCUGAUACUGUGCAACUAAUCCUGUGGAGGCCUCCUGCUUAUUUUUGUCUAAACUAAGUUAAUCAUGGUAGCAGCUAUGAUUCUUGCUCAGCAAAGUAAAAUAAAUGUUAAAUAUGGA